UGCUAGGUCUUGAUGCUC
rnacentral:piRNA from 1 species